GACGAACGCUGGCGGCGUGCUUAACACAUGCAAGUCGAACGGAAAGGCCCUGCUUUUGUGGGGUGCUCGAGUGGCGAACGGGUGAGUAACACGUGAGUAACCUGCCCUUGACUUUGGGAUAACUUCAGGAAACUGGGGCUAAUACCGGAUAGGAGCUCCUGCUGCAUGGUGGGGGUUGGAAAGUUUCGGCGGUUGGGGAUGGACUCGCGGCUUAUCAGCUUGUUGGUGGGGUAGUGGCUUACCAAGGCUUUGACGGGUAGCCGGCCUGAGAGGGUGACCGGCGACAAGGGGAUGAAGAGAGGGAGCAGACGCGAAGGGGGGAAAAGGGGGGGAAGUAUGAAAAAGGGGGAGAGAGCGGGAGGAAGAGGCGCCGGGGGGGGAAUGACGGCUGGGGGGUAAAAACCAGCUGCCGCCGGAGAAGAAGGGGGGGGGAGGGUAAUGAAAAAAGAAGCACCGGAUAACUACGUG
rnacentral:rRNA from 1 species